GUUCCACUUGUGAAAAGCAAUUAUUCCAGGCUUCUCUUGGAAGCGUUUUUUUUGGGCCCCAGUGGUAGAAACCUGAAAUGGGCAAAAACCAAUGCACAAAAUGAGCCCCAUCACUCUCAGCUUGUGUAAGGGGCACCCGGAGGUCUCUAAUUAUACCCCUCAGGAAGACUCACAUGGUGUGCUGGGGUUGGACUGGAUGUUCUUGGAGGUCUUCCCCAACCUCAGUGCUUCUGUGAUUCUAUGGAAAUGGCAGCAGAAUGCAUACAUGUGCUGGGGCUGCCGCUGGGAGCAGCUGCUCAGGCACGUGUGAGCACAGUGCAUAUGUGUGUGCACACGUGUGUGCUCGUGGCCCCUUCGCUCUGUGCCGUGGCACAGCAUCACUCCCACAUCCAACCCAGACUGGAAACUACCUUGGCAAAAUCAUCCUGGAGGAGGCUUUUAGCAGCGUGCAGCAUGGAACGCAUCCAGCACUGUGGUUUUCCAAGGUAACAGCCGAAGAAAAGGAAAAAAAAAAAAGAAAAAAUGGCACCCACUGACAUUCAUCGACAGUUGCUGAACAGUUAUGGAGGCCCAACAGUGGAUGUGAGCACAGUGCUGCUGUGGGUGGUGCAUUUCAGCAGUGACAGUGGAUCACCUCGACUGGUGCAGAUUUAUCCAACGUGGCAUGCAGGCUCUAGUUCACUGCUGGCCAAAAAGCACAGCCAGUGGUGGUGUCUAUGUUGAAAAACAGUGCUUUGUGGCUGAGAAUUUGCUCUGUCUGUUAGUAUUAUUGUGCUCUUUGUAUCUGUUGUAUUUUCUGCGGAAAUAAAUAGGAG
ensembl:lncRNA